GUAAGGAUUGAUAGACUGAGAGCUCUUUCUUGAUUCUAUGGGUGGUGGUGCAUGGCCGUUCUUAGUUGGUGGAGUGAUUUGUCUAGUUAAUUCUGUUAACGAACGAGAUAUCAGCUUGCUAACUAUUCUUGGUCUUUUUUGUGCGUUGUCUUUAUUUUGUAUUAUUUGCGGUGGCGGGUCAAUCGAGGAUGUACGGGCGACUGUGCGUGGCGUUGAAACAUUGGUUUCUUUUUUCUAGCCUAUUUUAACCUAGUUUGACGGAUUGGUUCAUCGUGAGUAUCAAGUUUUUGUCAUUUUCUCUUGUUUCUUUA
rnacentral:ncRNA from 1 species